AGGAGGGACCUUCAAAGGGUCCAGCUAGCUCAGAGUAUCUGCAGUAAGCGUGCACAGUGAGCCACCACCGGGCCGAGUUCAUCUUCCGCCACCUUCCUUGACAAAGUAGGGUUUUGUUUAAUUAUUUUAUACUUGUAACCUAAUCUGUGUAGAGCUCUGAUAUUGCCCUAGAA